UACGGGGGGGGGUAAGCGUUGUUCGGAAUUACUGGGCGUAAAGGCUCGUAGGCGGCCAACUAAGUCAUACGUGAAAUCCCUCAGCUUAACUGGGGACUGCGUGUGAUACUGGAUGGCUUGGAUUUGGGAGAGGGAUGCGGAAUUCAGGUGUAGCGGUGAAAUGCGUAGAUAUCUGGAGGAACACCGGUGGCGAAGGCGGCAUCCUGGACCAACACUGACGCUGAGGAGCGAAAGCCAGGGGAGCAAACGGG
rnacentral:rRNA from 1 species